GCAGCCAUGCUCUGUGUGUGUGUGUGUUUGUGUCUGUGUCCAGUUGGUGGUGACAGAACCAUUUUGGAGUUGUCUUUGUCCAGCCUCUCCAGCUGUAUUGCAUUUUUUUGAGAUGUAAUUAAUUUACAUACCGCAAAGCCCACCCUUUAAAGUGUCAGUUCAGUGUGUGGCAGAUGCACAGUGAUGCAGCCAUCCUGAUAGCUAGCCUGUGUGUUACCAUCGCCCCCGAAGAAACCAAGGACUCAUGGCCGCGACUCUGCAUCCCGCCCUCUCUCCAGUUCCCAGUAACCAGGGAGCUGCUUUCUGUCUCUAGGGAUUUGCCUUUUGGGACCUUCCAUACGGAUGGACUCACAAGAUUUGUGGCUUUUUUGUGGCUUAGCUUAACGUUUUCAAACGCAUCCAUUUACAGGGGAAUCAACCGAGGCCUGAGAAAGUCCAGGCCGCCUGUCCUGUGAGGUGCAGGGUUGGGGUGGGGACUGAUUUGGGGUUAAAUUACAUCGUCUGUUUCCUUUUCACUCCAGGGAGUGGCCAAGCGGGGGUGGGGGCAGGGAUGGGGCUCUGCCCCCCAGUGCCGUGGCUGUGGGGGAGACUCCGACCCCAUGAGGGGGACACGGGACUCUUCUCUGAGUGCUCUGUGACCAGCCCCACCUGGAUCUGCCACUCCCUGCAGGGGUCACAGCGUCCUCUUGGACGCCAGCCUCGGAACCUCCACAUGUGCCGGGAAAACGGAGUUUAUGGAGCAUUUCCCACCCUGGCAGUGGCAGCGGCCAGUCGGCCCGGUCGCUCACUCGCCAUUUCUACCCGGGGACCCCUCUCAGGAGGAAAGGGUCGUAUCCUAGAGUGAGGCAGAGCGAGUUAAGUGGCUUCAGAGUCUGACAACUGGUUUCAAAUGUUCCCCAUUUGCUUUCUCAAGAUUUGGGAAGUUAAUGAGCCUCUCCUAAGAAUCAGUCUCCCCACCAGCAAAACAGAGCAGGCUGCUUGUGUACCACGUGACCUGGGCUUACUGUGUGACAGCUGAAGGCGAUGUGUGUCCAGCAGCGACCGGGGGACCCAAGCGCCGGUCCUCUGCUUUCCAGAAAAACUCGAGUAGUCAGUGAGCACUGAGCCUGAGCAGCCCAGGGAAACGACGUGGGCCUCGCCCCCAGGCAGGAAAGCAGUGGGGUUGGGAGGGACCUGACUCGGGUGCUGAGAGGAGAUGAGGGCGGGGGACAGGGCUUUCCAUCUCCAUUUCUGACAGGCCCAGGCGUGCCCCCGCUCCGACCGAGCUCACAUCAAUCACGAGGGCCAAGGACGGACCAUGCUGGUGCCCCCUGACGUCUGAGCUCAGGGAGGCAGGAUGGUGACCCCAUGCCUCCUGGGGAGGAUUUGCGUUUUGAACUGGACCUGGCCAGGAACCCAGGCGAACAUCAGUUUGGACAGAGAAAUAGGAGCGAGGGAGUUACAGCGACAGAGGAUCCAGAAUUGGACCGCAGUCCUGCUGAAGCCUGGGCCUUGGUCCCCUUUCGUGCUGAAGCCUUUGUGUUCGGCUCCGAGCGGGUGGUGACCUUGAGGACCUUGGCACAGCCUGAUUGAGUGGCUCGGUGUACCCCGGGGCCACUGGGCAGCAGCUCCGCCUCCAGAAGGGCUGUAGGCUAAGAACUCGUAGACCACGAAGGUGACACCGUCUGCCAGCCUCACGGCCGUGACACUGCAGGGAGACGAGAGACCCGCAUCAGUGGAGGGACCGGGCUGCCACCUGCCUGCUUGUUCAGGCCCCUCCCCUCUGCACCAGACGGGGCGUCCUCAGAGCCAGUCCCCGGGGGGCUCUGAGACCCUGGAAACGCAAGGUUGGUAGAAGCCACAGUGGCAGGAGUGGUCCAGGACAAGCGACUUGUCCCCACCCCGAGGCUACUUCAGAACAUGUGACCUUCCUCAUCAGAACCACCCAAAGCCUCCACAUGGUCUGGGAACCUCCACUUGCCGUGGGUGCGGCCCUAAAAAGACAAAAGACAAAAAAUGUUAAGCAGAGGAAGGGGGCGGGGAUGUUGCCAGUGAGAAAUUUCCCAGCGGAGGUUGGUUGAGAGGUUUUAAAAGAAAUAGGCUCAAUUUUGUUUUAGUUUUGGUGUGACUCCCUGAAUCUUCAAUAAAAGUCUACUCAAAAAAAUAAAAGUAUCUCCCACCUGC